GACGAACGCUGGCGGCGUGCCUAAUACAUGCAAGUUGAGCGCUGAAGGUUGGUACUUGUACCAACUGGAUGAGCAGCGAACGGGUGAGUAACGCGUGGGGAAUCUGCCUUUGAGCGGGGGACAACAUUUGGAAACGAAUGCUAAUACCGCAUAAAAACUUUAAACACAAGUUUUAAGUUUGAAAGAUGCAAUUGCAUCACUCAAAGAUGAUCCCGCGUUGUAUUAGCUAGUUGGUGAGGUAAAGGCUCACCAAGGCGAUGAUACAUAGCCGACCUGAGAGGGUGAUCGGCAAAAUUGGGACUGAGACACGGCCCAAACGCCUACGGGAGGCAGCAGUAGGGAAUCUUCGGCAAUGGACGAAAGUCUGACCGAGCAACGCCGCGUGAGUGAAGAAGGUUUUCGGAUCGUAAAACUCUGUUGGUAGAGAAGAACGUUGGUGAGAGUGGAAAGCUCAUAAAGUGACGGUAACUACACAGAAAGGGACGGCUAACUACGUG
rnacentral:rRNA from 1 species